rnacentral:rRNA from 1 species
AAGAUGGCGACCGGCGCACGGGUGAGUAACACGUAUCCAACCUGCCGAUAACUCCGGAAUAGCCUUUCGAAAGAAAGAUUAAUACCGGAUGGCAUACGAAUAUCGCAUGGUAUUUUUAUUAAAGAAUUUCGGUUAUCGAUGGGGAUGCGUUCCAUUAGGCAGUUGGUGAGGUAACGGCUCACCAAACCUUCGAUGGGUAGGGGUUCUGAGAGGAAGGUCCCCCACAUUGGAACUGAGACACGGUCCAA